UACGGAGGGUGCGAGCGUUGUCCGGAAUCACUGGGCGUAAAGGGCGCGUAGGCGGCUUCUCAAGCGUGUGGUGAAAGUCCGGGGCUCAACCCCGGAUCGGCCGUGCGGACUGGGGAGCUCGAGUUCUGUAGAGGCGGGUGGAAUUCCGGAUGUAGCGGUGGAAUGCGUAGAGAUCCGGAAGAACACCGGUGGCGAAGGCGGCCCGCUGGGCAGAGACUGACGCUGAGGCGCGACAGCGUGGGGAGCAAACAGG
rnacentral:rRNA from 1 species